CCAUAUUGCAUCACGUCUCCCCGAAAGUCAAAAUAAGGUCAACUUAUCCACUCGAUGAUCUGAUUGGCCACAAAGUGAUACCAUAUAGUAACCAAGAGUGAUGUGAUAAUUACGUAAUGGGACAUGUAUAUAAAAGUACAAUGGGUAUCAUUGGUGAACUAAUGUGCUUGAAACUUCUGAAAGCUUUGAGAUACUAAAGAUUUAGGACAAUGAAGUUUCUUCCGUUCUGUCUCGUUUUCGCUUUUCUACUGAUGACGUCAACGGUACUCGGAGAGUCCGAGACUUUGAGAGAAACGGACAAAACGAGGCAUUAUACCAGCAGAGUAUACAAACUCUAUCAUACUUACUUGAAAGAUGUUGCUAGCAAGAAUCGAUUCCAGAAAUAUCAAUCGAAGCCGGUAAUAAAAGAACACAAGCAGCCAUUGUUCUAGAUUUUCAAGCUGCAAGUUGCGUUGAAACGAUUUCAAGUUAUUUUCUUGUGGCCAAUAUAUGUGCAAAAUUAUAUUGUUGUGUAUAGUAUAUUAAAUCAAUACAGCUGUGUUGCACAAUACAC